rnacentral:lncRNA from 1 species
AUGAGGAGUGAGUUCACGGGAGAUCUGGUUGUUUAAAAGUGUGUGACAUAUGCCCCCUUCACUCAUGCUCCUGGUCUGGCCAUGUGGGAUGUCUGUUCCUCGCUUCCCUCCUGCCAUGGCUGUUAAGUUUCCUGAGGCUUCACCAGAAACCAAGAGGAUUCCAGCACCAUGCUUCCUGUAUAGCCUGGAGAACUCCAAGAAGGAUCGUGUCAGUCCUGCAACUUGUCAGUGGAAUUAAAUUUCAGGCGUUUUAAAGAUAAAUGGUAAAACUGAACUGGAAAUCCAUCUGGCCGGCUGCCUGCUCUAAUGAAUAACCCCACUUUGGCUCGUGCAAUGACUUCUUCCCUUUGGAAUGCAAGUGCGGUGGCAGUGUCAAGGAUGCCUGUGUGUUUGCAGCAGGUUCCUUCCAGAAGCAGCUGCAAGUGCCACCUCCAGGCCAUCUGGCCAAUGUGAGGAAAGGAGGCUGCAAGGGCUUGGCAAAAACAACUUUCUGUUCCUCUGGUAUCCCCUGAUAACUGAUUUCAAGUUAUGGCCAAGGACUGCCUUAUCGCCGUCAGUGGCUGUCAAAAAUUUAUAAGUAUAUUCAUUUCCCUAUUCAACUUAAUUGGUAUUUUGGGUAUGACACUAGAAAAGCAAGUUAGACUUGCCUGUUGGAGUCCAAGGAUACCUCCAACAAAAUUCUAGACAAUAAAAGAAAGGGUAAGUGUCUGAGGGGAGGGGGCACUUACAAAUUAUUCCAUUUAAUGCUAAUUCGAGGCUUCCAGAUUCAUUUUGGGAAAAUCAAAGAGCAAGAGCUGUAUGCAUGGCUUUUUAAAACACAAAGAAAAUUGGGAAGCAUGGGCUUCCCAAUUUUCCUGCGCAUAAACUUCUAGAACAAUUUCUAUUGUUGAUACUUUAAAAAAAAUCUUUUUCUUUUCUGUGAUGUGGUCUUUUAAACUCAUACCACAACUUAUGGCUCCCUCUACUUCCUAUAUUUUAAUUGAUCUUGAGGUUAUUUUCAAGUCACUGGGCUUAAUGAACAAAUAUUUUAGAAUUUCUUCCUUUAUAUACACUCAUUUCUGUCUCAAUAAAAUGUCUAAUCAGGAAUUCACUUGUGUAGAAAAUAAAAAAUAGAAGUACAUACCCUUCAAGUGAA